UCGACAGAAGCUUGCUGCCACGGUCUUACAUACAGGUCUUGCGACUCUGAGUUUCGACGUGGGCCUCUUAACGUGUCAAGCCGCUAACGUCGCUGCGAUCAAGGGAUGCCCGGUGCGACAAGGAUGACGAUAGUCGCGCUCGCGCGUCACAUGGGCGUGGAAUCCUAACGUCAAAGGCUUAUUCAAACAUUGUAGGUUAUGUUGAUGCAUCCCUCGAUCGCAGCUCCAUCUGGAUUUUUCUUCAACAGAGGAGCCACUCUCUACCAUUGGAAUUCUAUUGAGUCGCAAGACCUGUAUGUAAGACCGUGCUUGCUGCAGAUCAUUCAUGAUUCUCGAAGGGUCUGCCGGGUCUGCCGGUAUUCACGAAGAGCAGAAGGCACAGUUACUGGCGAGCAAAAAUGAACAAGAAAAACACUGACUUUCAAAUCUAUGUCUACAACAAGACUAGAAGAGAGGGUCUCUUCUACCGUUGUACAGUUAUUAAUAUAAAUAUGUUUUAUACGUUGUAGCUUAAAAUUAUCAACUACAGUUUAUAAUAGUAUUGAUAAACUGAUAUCAAAUGAGUAGAAUAGUAGAUAAUAAUGAAGUAUUUGAAAUCAAAAAAUUUAUACCAGAUACCAAAAGCGUCUACAGUAUCUAAAUGUUAGCUAUUUUAUAGCUAUGUUUGUACAAACCCGCCGCAUUUGUUGAUAUAGGUAUAAUGUUUCAUUGGAAAACAUAUAGUUACAUGUCACUUGUGGAUAUCACAGCUGCAGUACCAAUUAUAAAUACUAUGCUUGAGCAUAAACAUAAAAACUAACAUUACAGCUAUACGUACUAAAAUAUUUCUUAGUCAAACAAAGUACAUAGGUACAUAUGUUUGAAUACACGUAGGAUCUUUAAUAGGCAAAUUGUGGGUCUCUUAUUCCGCAGUGUCAUUGUCCUGGGUGUUCAACCUCGUAACGAUGAGCCAUUUCAGCCAUAUAUUUUUUUCUGCGACCCUCCACAUGGACAGAGCGAUUGGCACGUCGUUUUGCAUCCCGCAAUCUUUUUUGUGCGCCCCGAAUUGCCUCUUGCAUCAGUCUCGCAAAUUCUGUACUAUCAUGUGGCUGUGGUAUUGUUCGACACUCACGUAAGGCAUC
rnacentral:lncRNA from 1 species